CCACGGGCGCGGACACGCGCGGACACACACGUGCGGGACACGCCCUCCCCCGACGGCGGAGCUCGCGGCUAGGUUGUUCCAGGACCCUUGGAGACCCAAGGAAAGCCGUGCUGACCGAAAGCAAGACAAAUGACUCGCAGAGAAAAACGAUGGUGGAACCCAGGGCAAUUAGAGCUGUUGCUGGUUCUGCACGGCUGGUGAACCAGCUGGCUUACUGAAGGACAUGAUUCAGACUGUCCCGGACCCAGCAGCUCAUA